rnacentral:rRNA from 1 species
UACAGAGGGUGCAAGCGUUGUUCGGAAUUAUUGGGCGUAAAGCGCGUGUAGGCGGCUUUGCAAGUCGGGUGUGAAAGCCCUCAGCUCAACUGAGGAAGUGCGCCCGAAACUGCAGAGCUUGAGUGCCGGAGAGGGUGGCGGAAUUCCCCAAGUAGAGGUGAAAUUCGUAGAUAUGGGGAGGAAUACCGGAGGCGAAGGCGGCCAACUGGGAAUGCAUUGACACUGAGGUGCGAAAGCGUGGGGAGCAAACAGG